rnacentral:rRNA from 1 species
UGGGGAAUAUUGGACAAUGGGCGAAAGCCUGAUCCAGCCAUGCCGCGUGUGUGAAGAAGGCCUUUUGGUUGUAAAGCACUUUAAGCGAGGAGGAGGCUACUUAGAUUAAUACUCUAGGAUAGUGGACGUUACUCGCAGAAAAAGCACCGGCUAACUCUGUGCCAGCAGCCGCGGUAAUACAGAGGGUGCGAGCGUUAAUCGGAUUUACUGGGCGUAAAGCGUGCGUAGGCGGCUUUUUAAGUCGGAUGUGAAAUCCCUGAGCUUAACUUAGGAAUUGCAUUCGAUACUGGGAAGCUAGAGUAUGGGAGAGGAUGGUAGAAUUCCAGGUGUAGCGGUGAAAUGCGUAGAGAUCUGGAGGAAUACCGAUGGCGAAGGCAGCCAUCUGGCCUAAUACUGACGCUGAGGUACGAAAGCAUGGGGAGCAAACAGG